UACGUAGGGUGCAAGCAUUAAUCGGAAUUACUGGGCGUAAAGCGUGCGCAGGCGGUUAUGCAAGACAGAUGUGAAAUCCCCGGGCUCAACCUGGGAACUGCAUUUGUGACUGCAUGGCUGGAGUGCGGCAGAGGGGGAUGGAAUUCCGCGUGUAGCAGUGAAAUGCGUAGAUAUGCGGAGGAACACCGAUGGCGAAGGCAAUCCCCUGGGCCUGCACUGACGCUCAUGCACGAAAGCGUGGGGAGCAAACAGG
rnacentral:rRNA from 1 species